rnacentral:lncRNA from 10 species
AAUCCCCACGUGUUGUGGGAAGGACUCGGUGGGAGGUAAUUUAAUCAUGAGAGCGGUUACCCUCAUGCUGUUCUCGUGACAGUGAGUUCUCACGAGAUCUGAUGGUUUAUAAGAGGCUUUUCCCUCCCCCUUUUGCUCAGCACUUCCUCUUCCUGCUGCCACGAGAAGAAGGAUGUGUUUGCUUCCCCUUUUGCCACGACCGACCGACCAUAAGUUUCCUGAGGCCACCCCAGACCUGCAGAAUUGGAUACUGGUUGUAGGAGAGCUGCCCAGUGUUUCUUCUCCUCCCACACACCCAGUUUUAAUGGAGUACUUAGAACCCUGCCGUGCCCACCUGCUGCUGCUUGGGUCCUGUGCACAAGCUGUUCCCGCUGCCUCCAAUACUCAUCCCCUCGACUUCUAUGGAGCUGACUCUUCACCUUCCAGCCUUGGCUCAAAUGUCACCUUCACAGUAAAGGCUACCCAUGGCUGGGUGUGUGGUUGUGCAGGAUCUGCCCCUUCCAAAGGGCCAGAAUGGAAAAAUGAACUCACUUCUGUUCUCUACUACACUAAAACAAUGCUUAGCACAUAACCAGGACCUGGCACCUAUUUGUUAAAUGAAUGAAUGAAUGAAUGACUAAAUAAAUGAAAAAAAAAAAAAAAAAACAAAUGAACUCACAGUUUGGAAGCCAAGAGACAGAAGAGCCUUUGGACCUAAUAUAUAUUUAUUUUCUAUCUUAUGCUUGAGUGACACCUCCUAGAACUAUUGAUGCUAGAGUUGUCCAGAGUAUAUCGGUAGGAUAGAGCGGCUGGAUAAGGAAGAGCGGAAACUAAUAAAAAGCUCUCAUCAAGCCCUCCACUUUUU